UACGUAGGGGGCCAGCGUUGUCCGGAAUCAUUGGGCGUAAAGCGCGCGUAGGCGGCCAGAUAAGUCCGGUGUGAAAGUCAAAGGCUCAACCUUUGAAUGCCGCUGGAAAUUGCCUGGCUUGAGUCCGGAAGGGGCGAGUGGAAUUCCUGGUGUAGCGGUGAAAUGCGCAGAUAUCGAGGAAGAACCACCGUAGGCGAAGGCGGCUGCCUCGUCGGUACGUCGACUGACGCUGAAGACGCGGAAAGCGUG
rnacentral:rRNA from 1 species